AUGGCGAGUCAUGCACCCCAUAGAUGUCCUUGCAAAGAUCUAUUCAUCAUCCGAGUCACCAGUGCAAUCCUCCCUGAAGCAGUUCUGAUAGCAGUCGCCACAUGGGCCCAAGGUCUUAAUGAGCAUGUUUCAUAUCUCGAGGUGUCGGAGCUUUGGCAUUUUGCUGGCAGAAGCAUAGACCUCAUCAUUCUGGCAAACCUUCCCAACAACAUCAAUUGGGUGCACGACCCGCCGAAGUAUGAUGAGGGUUUUGCAGUUCUUGGGAAAUGGCUACAGAGCAUGGGCGCCAAUCUUGGUGCAACUGCAUACGUCCACGAAUGUAACCUUGGGAAGUCUUUGUGUAAGAUCUUGUCUGCAGUCACUGAUCUCGCUCCUCGGAAUCUCCAAAGGAAGAGGAGAAAGAGGGCAUGGAUGGAGAGGGAGUCACCUCUGCACGGCGAGGGAGGCAGAUAUGGAAGUCGCCGACUAGGGAGGCGGAUCUGGAUGUCUCCAGCAAGGAGGGUGGCCAUGAACGACAGAGGCAGGGGGCACUCGAUGGUGAGGUGGGCACCUCUAGAUUUGGAGGGAGGCGGCAGACCAAAACUAGAAGGCCGAUAUGGGGGGAGUGGCGGUGUUGGACGGUGGAGGUAUUUUGACCCAACCCUCCCGAUGACAGCGCACGUUAUGCGAAAAACACCUCGGGAAGCAAAUAUCAGUGUGCUUCUCACUUCCCAAAUGAAAAAAUCACGUGCCCCGGAAUACCGACGCAAAUGUUCCAUUCCGUUCCUGAAGGUUAUUAUGAAGAACCUCACGAACAUACCACCUUUCGCCUUGGCUGAACAUCCACGGCACGAACAGGCACACAUUCCUGAAGGAGACUUCGGGGCCAUCACAAACGUGCCUAAUCAUCACCAAAAAAUAGUGAGAAAUGUUGCGAAGAAGAUUCCAAGGAGUGAGAUCAGCGACUGCAUAGUGGAAGAUGUUGCACAAAGACCGUCCAGGGUUACAUUCCUCGAUAAAUCCCUCGUCAGACAUCGGCAAGUCAUGCACACCAUAGAUGUCGCUGGGAAGGUGUGCCAGAAUCACGAGGCCCAUGCUAUUGUAAGCAACAUGCCAAAGCUCUGCCACCUUGAGAUAGGAUACAUGCUCAUUAAGACUAUGGUUGUCGUCAAGAUCGCCUUCCAGCGCCUUGACCUCAAGUUCUUAGAUCUGUGUGGUUGCUGGGACGUUGACGAUACGCUCUUGCAACAGAAUAGUCCUUGGCUGAAAAGCAUCGGCCCCCGCAUGGGCGACUGCUAUGAGAACCACAUCUGCGAGGAGUGCACUGAUGACUCGGAUGAUGAAUACUCAUGA
rnacentral:rRNA from 1 species